CGCACACCAGCCGGCACACGCGCACACACACGCGCGCGCACACACCGGGGCUCCCAGCGGCGGUGGCGGCCGCAUCCCGGCAACAGCUCGGACCAGAGUGACAGGGGACUGUGCCCUGGGUUUGAUCAAGUGGACAUCCCUUGCUGUUGGUCCCGAGCUGCCUGGUCUUGACUAUCAUCAUGGCCAAACCCUAUGAAUUUAACUGGCAGAAAGAAGUUCCUCCCUUUUUGCAAGAAGGAGCAGUUUUUGAUAGAUAUGAAGAGG